UUUAUGGAGAGUUUGAUCCUGGCUCAGGAUGAACGCUGGCGGCGUGCCUAAUACAUGCAAGUCGAGCGAACGGACGAGAAGCUUGCUUCUCUGAUGUUAGCGGCGGACGGGUGAGUAACACGUGGAUAACCUACCUAUAAGACUGGGAUAACUUCGGGAAACCGGAGCUAAUACCGGAUAAUAUUUUGAACCGCAUGGUUCAAAAGUGGAAGACGGUCUUGCUGUCACUUAUAGAUGGAUCCGCGCUGCAUUAGCUAGUUGGUAAGGUAACGGCUUACCAAGGCAACGAUGCAUAGCCGACCUGAGAGGGUGAUCGGCCACACUGGAACUGAGACACGGU
rnacentral:rRNA from 1 species